ACACGGAGGGGACUAGCGUUGUUCGGAAUUACUGGGCGUAAAGAGUUCGUAGGCGGACUGAUAAGUAAGAGGUGAAAUCCCAGGGCUCAACCCUGGAACUGCCUUUUAAACUGUCAGUCUAGAGACCGGAAGAGGUUAGGGGAAUACCUAGUGUAGAGGUGAAAUUCGUAGAUAUUAGGUGGAACACCAGUGGCGAAGGCGCCUAACUGAUCCGGUACUGACGCUGAGGAACGAAAGCGUGGGGAGCAAACAGGAUUAGAAACCCUAGUAGUCC
rnacentral:rRNA from 1 species